GAAGCCUACCUCAAGAUAAGAUUUCCCUAGGACUUUAUGUCCUCUAAAGAGCCGUUCGAGACUAGGACGUUGAUAGGUUGGAUGUGGAAGCAUAGUGAUAUGUGAAGCUGACCAAUACUAAUUGCUCGUGAGGCUUGACUAUACAACACCCAAGCAGUUG
rnacentral:rRNA from 1 species